GGCAACCUUUCCAUAAUUCGGAGCUUACUGGGUAACGGGUUUCCGGCUAAUGGAUCCCAUACCUGUAGCACCUAAAAAAUCAGGGGCAGAUGCCACUUGCAUACUGAGCACCAGAAUUGACAGCAGGCAGGCUUCUAAAAUAUUUGCCGCAACUGUGACCAUUUUACAAAGAAACGGACACUCACUUGCAUCUAUUUUUACUAUUUGGAUGCCUUUUCUCUGGUCACAACACACAAGAGAGACACAAAUGUCCAAUUUAACAUGUGCAUUGUGUACACAAUAACAUGAAUUCUAGGGAAAAUCUGCAUUUUUUAAAAAAAAUUUUUUAAUCAAAAUACAUGUAUGGCAAUUGCGUCCAAAAUGCAUUCAUUCAUGCAUCAUGGUAAGUGAAUGAAACCUAUUGUUUUUCUGGCUGAGAAAUAAAGCUUGCUAAAUUUACAAUAAAACCUAUGCAAACAUGGUAAGUGGAAGUAAGAGUGUUUGUUUUCAAUGAUAGAAUUCUUUGUUAAUUGUCAAAUGUUUAUUUAGAAAGACAACAUUUCUGUCGGGCAGCAAUUACAAAAUAAACAAGAAGUGUGCAAUUAUGAGAUUCUGCAGUGCACUAGGGUUUAAACAGUUAUUUGAAUAAUAAUUCACGGACUAAUUCAAACUAAUUACGUGCAACCCUACAUCUAAACUGUUGUGCAAAGUGUUUCUUAAUUCUGUAUUUGUAUUUGUAAUGAGCUUUGGUCAAAGCUCCUUUUUAAUCAUUAUAAUAAAAAAAACUAACCAUACUUCCUAUUGUGUUUUUCAUAAGUGAAUUCUGUUGAUGUUAUAAUAUUUGUUGGUCAUGUUGCAAGGAACUUUUUAUUAUGGCUUAUCCAAAGUCACUUAUUUGUGAGAUAAACAUUAUUGGGCCUCUAAAAGGGCCAAGUCAAUUGAAAUGAUCAACUGUGGUUGAUACUGUACUGGCAGCAUGCAAAGAACAGUUUAAUUAGAAUUCCUUUGACCAGUAAAUUGAGUUAUAUGUAUGCAUUUAGCUAAAAUUACAGUAUGUACAGGACUUAUCUUGCAUUGUUAAAAUACAAAAGCCUAAUACUCAUAAUAAAUUCUGAAACACAACCAAGAAGUUGCCUACCAUUGCAUAACACAACACGUUUUUCACAGGUAUGUGUGUCUCACCACAAUAUUUUAAUUUAUUAAUUAAUUCUAGAAAUUUGAAUUAAAAAUAUUUAUUUAAAACUCUUAACUUUGUCUGGGCUGGAUUUUUGUCUAAAUCAAAUGUCGGAACAGACAAGCUCCAAACAUUUGCUGAAUUUAUCAUACUCUUCUGCUGUUCCUUUGUGCCAAGGAAAUGCUCCAGUGCCAACUUUUUGCUUUCUGUGACGGCACCGUCCAUCUGUUGGCUACAAAGAAACAUUUCCCUAGUGCUCAAAGGAUAUUCAAAUAUUAUGUAAAUAGUUAUUUUUCACAAACUUUCAUAAGCAAGCACACGUCCAUUUAUAAGAUAAAAUUCUUCACAGCCUACAAAUAAACUUGCAAAUAGGCUAGAGAGCACUAUAUAACAGAGUUAUUACUGAUGUAUUUUUGGCUUAAAGGAGAACUUAAGCUUAACUAAAGAGGUAGGCUAGAAAUGUUGUACAGAGAGAGUGAGAAUUAUUUAAGAAUUAUUAGUAAAUUAAUAAAAGCGAAAUGAUUGCCCUACACCUACUGUGCCCAUAUUCCUAUUUUUUUUGUUAUACACCCAGCAGUCAGGUUCUGUUGAUAAUUUUUUUUAACUAUAUUAUUGUCUCAACUUUGAAAACUUUUAGAUCUUUAAUCUAAACUUUAACAUAUAAAUGCUACACAUUUUUCACUAGCAUAAUGUACUUGUAUAAUUAAUGUGUCACAUUUUCUGAUUCCACUUUAACUUGAAUUUUACAUUAUUUAUCCGUGCCAUUAUCCCCCUUCAGUUUUAUAAUGUACAAUGAGCUUUGCAUAUUUCUGUACAUCCCCAGCAAGUUAUAGCUUGGGAGUCCAUUUUUUUUUUUAAAAAGUAAAACCGCAGCUAUUGCUGCAUACUAUUAUGAUAUAAUAGUGUCCUUAUAGGAAAUACUAUAUGCAACAGUACACAACAAUACAAUACUUAUACUAUUCUAUAUGCAGCAAUACUUAUACUAUAUGCAACAAUUCUGUUACUUCAGGAGAUUGUGUGUGACCAGAGAAAAUCAAACAAGGGUCUCUAAUACGAGAUCCCACAUCAAAGGCUGACCUGCUUUUAUGCCAACUCUUAACAGUAAAUAGGGAUUUAAGAAUAGGGAUUUAAGAAUAGCAACUUUUUUAUUUGAAUGUCACAUAUCAUUAUGUUCGCUCAUCUGAGACGUUCAGGGUCGGACUGGGCUGGUAAAAAAUCUGACAGACCCCGGGCUUUAUAGGCCCCCGUUGGCCCAGACCCCCUCUCCCGAUCUGCUGGCCCCACAAAAAACAAUUUGCAGUGCCGCACAGCGGCAUGUGCACGGGGCCCGGGGAUUGUAACCCAGUGUGCGGCACGCAUGGCAACACAUUAGGGGGGGGAUCGGAAGGGGGCCCUGGACAGCAUUUCCGGUGGGCCCCAGGCCACCUAGUCCGACCCUGGAGAUGUUCAUGUCUUCAUAAUUUUAUAAGAUUAUAAUGCAAAGUGAGCUUAAACCAGAAAGGCAUCAAGUUUUUUUUUUAUUCCUACUUUUAUCUGCCUUAAAGACCGUUUAAAAUCUUUACAGUGUUUUAAAGUUAUUUUAACAGACAGAUUUCAAAUAAAUUUUUUAUGGACUAUCCAAUCCUUUGGUAGUGCGUUAUUGGAAAGUAUAAUGGUUAAACUAGCAAACUUACCACCAGCACCAUUGCUUCUUAUGGGGGAUUUCAAUGCAUUAUUGAACCCCCUCAUUAGACAGGUUGACCCCGAGUCCUCAAACCACCUCUAGACUUUCCCUCUGGAACCUUACAGAUCUCUAAUGCUGGAAAAAUCCUCAUAAAAGUGAAUUCUCUUGCUUCUCAGCUACCUAUAACACUCUAUCCUGUAUUGAUUUUGCCCUAGCCUCUGCAGAACUGUUACCCUGGGUGAAUUCUGUGGAGUAUCUACCUAGAGCUGUGUCUGAUCACUCCCCCUUACUGGUGAAACUAGAUCUUAUCCCAGGACCCAGAGAACUUCUCUGGCGUCUUAGCCCAAUUUGGUUAACACAACCCACCAUUAAGGAAGCUAAUGAGGCAGCCCUCAAAGAAUAUAGGGACCAUAAUCAUGGUACAGUGUCCCUGGGGAAUGUGUGGAAGCAGGUAAAGCCACACUGAGGGGAGCACUUACCUCAGCAAUUGAAGGGGCUAGGAAGGAAGCUAAUCAGGUGCUGGAGGAAAGACAGAAAACACUGACUGAGGCAGAAAAGAACUAUAUUAAAAAUGUUGGACCAAAUACACUUCAUACCUUUAGGAGAGCACAUAUAGAGCUAGAAGAAAUUAGAGUUACAAUGACCCAAAAGAGGCUGCUCUAUGCUUCUCAAAGAACAUUUGAUAAAGGGGAGAAGAAUGGGAAAAUCCUAGCAUACCUCUCCAAAGCUCAAACUCCAUCCAACACUAUCUCAAAAAUUACUUCCCCCACAGGCAGUGUAGUAACAAACCCCUCCCAGAUAGCUGAUGCUUUUGCAACUUACUACCAAACUCUGUAUGCCAUCAAAGUCGACUACUCCUCCAUUUAUCAGUGUCAAAACUGAUUAAUGUUAAUAAGAAUCUGUAUAUAAAAAUGCUUAUGCCCAAACAAAAACACAUAGUAGUAAAAACCAGCAUCUUUUACUCUCCAAUUAAGCUAUUGUUGAAUGUUUUUUCUUAAAAUAGCCGCUAAUGAGAAUUCAGAAGAUAAUAUCGAUGAUAUUUGCCAAGACAUUACCAAUGCCCCUGAUAAAACAGCUCCAGAAGGUAAAGAAACAGGCCCAGGUUUAUCUGGACGUUUUAAUAUUACAAUUUGCUACCCUUAAUAUUAUGUCAUUAUAAGCAUGUAACUUACUACACAUAACACAAAUCUUUGGGUUGUUGCUCUGUUAAAUCUGAACUUUUUAAAAGAAAUAUUGACACAUAGGGGCAGAUUUAGCAACAUGUGAGAUUAGAGCUCACCACAGAAAGUGAGUCUUUCUAUUCAUUCCUAUAGGAUUUUUAGAGGCGUAUUUAUCAAAACUUUCACCAAUUGAUAAAUACUCUUCAAAAAUCCCAUAGGAAUGAAUAGAAAGCAAGUGAAUCUUUAUGGGGUGAGUUCUAAUCUUACAUUUUGAUAAAUCUGUCCCAUAUAUUCAAAUCACAGCUGGCCAUUCCUAUGGUCCAAUGUCUAAACUAACACUUUUUCUUGUCUGCAACAGAAGGUAUGUAGUAGUGCACCAGGAACAAUAAGAACUUGAUAUUCUUAGACAUCUUUUUAGCUAUGUGGGCAAACAAUGCCACUCCGUGUUAAAUUAUGCAGAAUUAUUUAUUAUAUUAAUUGCUUUACAAACAAAUGAAAUAACAUGCUUUCACUUCCUUCCCAAUCCAGUAAUAACUACACAUGCUACAGAGUAUGAAGUUAUAACGGAUACAAACAUAGAUCCGUGAGGUAAGAGAGAAAUUGUGCAUGGUCAUAUUUUUAAGAAAUGCCUUGCUAUUAUCAUUUCUCGUUUCCAGAGUAAUAGUUAAUGUGUGUGGUUUCACACAAAGCCUCAUGCUAUGCUAUGAAAGCCAAGUUCACUUUAAGGAGAAGAGAAAAAAAAUCUCUUCACUUUUCCAUAAUCCAUAAAAUAGUUUUAUAUAUUACUACAUACAUUUACAAUUUUUUUUCAAUAUAGAAAGUCUUGAUGAUCAUGAGGAUGAAGUACUCAGCACUGAAGAAAUCCAAAAUGUUGAAAUAACAAACAACGAAGCUGAAGAUGUCACAGAAGAAAGUAGAAGUCAGAUGGAAAACUCUACCCAAGGAUCUCUGAAAAUGAAACCGAACACAACUCUCUCAGAAUUUGACGCUAUCAAGAAAUUUAUUUAAAGCAUGACAGCGAGAAAUAAUAAGAGCAUGAUCCUUAUAUGUUCGGUGAUGGGCUCCACGCUAUUUGUAAUCAUUAUCUCGCUGUGCCUACUAACCUUGAUUACUUACGUGAAACAUGCUAACACUGACGAACUGAUGAAAGCUGAAGAAGGACAAGCUAACAGUUCCAAGAAGCAGAAAAAAGAACAGAUAACAAGCAAAUAACAUGGCAAGCAGUUACAAAAUUGUAAUCAAACAGGAGAAGAGGAGAUGGGGUGGAACUGGAGGGCUUAAGAUUGUUUUCCCGAAGAGCGAGCUAUCACAAAUGCAUAGCAUUUAUUGCAUAGCAACACUCCUAGUUUUUAAUUUAAUAAAAUAAUAUGCAAUUCAUAUUGGCCUUCAUAUUUGUGUUUAUUCAUAUGGUGGUAUGCCGAGAUAGCAAAUUACUAUUUGCUUGUUUUCCUGCACUGGUUUAUGGCCAGUACCACAUCAAACACAAAAGCUUUUGAUCAAAACUCAAUACUGGGCCAACCAAAUAUUAAACCUUCAAUUGAUGUUGUGGUAGCUGGAACUAGACUGGUAGUAAUUUACAAUUCUUGAAAUCAGCCUAUUAAAUAUUUUUUAAUAUCUAGUAUGUUAUAAACAUCUGAAUAUUUUAUCACAAAAUACUAAUUUAAUUUCGUACUUGUAUGGUGGCCUGCCAGUCCUAACAGAUCCAUUUCUAUAUGUUAUGGAUAAUGGUCAGUUUAUGAAUCUGCCAGAUAAGUAAAUUUCAUCACCAUGUCGGCUACUUCAUUGCCAUGUUUGGUACUUCCUUAUCUGUGAUGGGAUGAGGAAGUGAAUGCACACAGCUCAGCUUUACCUUUUGUUGUUCUAAUUGUUCAUGCACUUUGGAGAAACGAUCAGAACAUUUUGAGAUGGCCAUACUGUGUAUGUGGCCCUUCACAUUCCCUCCGAGCUGCUUCUUGAGUUGAUUGGUUGGAAGCAUACCAAAGCACCUAGGCUGUACCCAUACAACUCCAUUCCUACAACUUGCCUCACAGGCAUGUAGUAUGUACUAUGUAUUUUUCCUUUGCAUUAUAUCGCCCCUCACAUCCUCACCUUGAGCCUUAUGAAGAAAAUCUAAAACCCAGCUAGGCCGCUUGGGGCCUGUUCAAGUAUAUCUUUUUUGGUCCCCUGUGUUUUGUUUUACAAUGCUAAAUUAACACGAUUGGUAGAAGUGUGUGGCCUCACGUGUUACAAAAGUUACAUGUUUGUUGGCAGAUAUUACCUUGUAUGUUUGUUUAGAUUGGAUCUCAUAUUGUUUAAGGCAAGGAAUAUCCUGAAAAGAGGUUAAGGAUGUAAUGAAGGUCACACAACAGAAGUGAAUAGAUUUCUACCUGCCAGUGAUUUCAUUUAAAAAUGAAAAGCUCCGUGAAAAUAUUUGUUUCCUUUGCACAGAGGAGUACAACAUUUGGAGAUAAAUUGGCUCAUUUUAGAGUUGCCCUUUGGCAGCACAUUAUCCAGAUAUUUGGUCUUAAAUAGCAGCUUUCAUCAAGCACCAAUAUAAAAUUAUUUGACUGAGGAAAUGGCAAUAAAAAUAUUUCAACCUUGGAAUCUUUGUGUUUUUGUGAUGAAAAAUCAGAUUGUUAUUGCAUAUCCAUCUUCAAAUGUAAAUUUUAAUUACAUUUCAAGACCAUUUUAUCCAUGUGAAGUAUUAGUUGUAAUGAGUGGAAAGAAUUGUUGUAUAUUUGUCUGGUAGCUUCUAAAAAAGAUGUAGACUAGAUAUGCGGCUUGAGAUAAAUAAUAGUAAUUUUCAAAUCAUUCAGCUACACUUUAUCACUAGGAAGCCAAUCGAGCUUUAGAAACCAUGCAGUUUGGUUAAUAUAUACUUGACAAAGCAUCUGUCUAAAUCUCUAGCCCACUUAAUUUUCUUUUAAUCAUUAUUCUUGAAUUACAUUUUUUCUUAUCCACUCAUAGACUACAGGUGUACUAAGUUGCAACACAUUUCCACUGCUUUUAGUUACUAUACAGAAACUGCAGUGUCUGCUCUUCCCAUGCUUUCAGAAUCAUUGCGUAGGGAGGAUGGGUAGCUAUUUCUACAUAGUGUAGGGCUCCUGUAUUAAUUCCCUUCCUUUAGGUGAGUGUUUAACUGGAGAGAGCUAAUAUUAUGUGUAACAUGACCCCCUUUCCCUAGGUGUAAAAAACAAGAGAUAUUUAUUAUAUAUUUAUUGUCACAAUCACUUUUUGAAAUUCUUCCUUGGAGAUUUAGAGUGGGCAUGAGUCAAACGCCUGAGAAACAGUGCCUUGGUAAAGCCUAUGCCAAGGCUGGUGGUUCUAUGGAUGAGACACAGCCAGUUUGAGGGUUAAAUAUCAUAGAUGCAAGAUACAUAGAUGCAUAAAUACACAAUCAUAAGGUUUUAACUGAGCAGUAUAUAGCUCAGUGUAUGUGAGCACUGAAUCAUACAACUAUAAUAAGCUGUUGCUACAAAAAACUCCUAGGGUAUAUUUAUCAAAGACUGAAGUUAGAGCUCACCAUGGUCCUCUAGAG